UAAUGUCAAUAUGUGUGUUUUAAGCAGGAGUAUGUCUCCAAACCUUUUAAACAGAGCAUCCCCGCUUGCUUUCAACAUUGCAAAUUCGAGCAGCGAAGCUGACUGCCCAGACCCAUUUGCAAAUGGUGCUGAUGUCCAAGUCAGCAACAUAGACUACAGAUUAUCCCGGAAGGAGCUGCAGCAGCUCCUGCAGGAAGCAUUUGCCAGGCAUGGCAAGGUGAAGAGUGUUGAGCUCAGCCCCCAUACAGAUUAUCAACUCAAGGCUGUUGUGCAAAUGGAAAACUUACAAGAUGCGAUCGGUGCAGUGAAUAGCCUCCACAGAUACAAAAUUGGCAGCAAAAAGAUCCUGGUCUCACUUGCCACCGGGGCUGCCAGCAAAUCACUCUCUUUACUGAGUGCAGAAACAAUGUCUGUUCUUCAGGAUGCCCCUGCCUGUUGCCUGCCUCUGUUUAAAUUUACAGAUAUCUAUGAAAAAAAGUUUGGACACAAGUUGAAUGUGUCAGAUCUAUAUAAAUUAACAGACACGGUCGCAAUCCGUGAACAAGGAAACGGACGGCUGGUGUGUCUCCUACCCAGCAGUCAGGCCCGCCAGAGCCCCUUGGGGUCUUCCCAGUCACACGACGGCUCCUCCACGAAUUGCAGCCCAAUUAUAUUUGAAGAGUUAGAAUAUCACGAGCCUGUCUGCAGACAGCAUUGUUCCAAUAAGGAUUUCAGCGAACAUGAAUUUGAUCCAGACUCUUACAAGAUUCCUUUUGUGAUUCUUUCUUUGAAGACAUUUGCGCCCCAGGUUCACAGUCUUCUCCAGACCCACGAGGGCACCGUGCCUUUAUUGAGGUGAACCAUCUCAAAGCCUUUGUCGAUAUAAUGCCCUAGUUCUGCUUUUUAUAGGAAGCCUGCCCUUUCUGCCCACACCUUUUUACAAAUAAGUACUCUACAAUGCUUCAUCCUCAUGUGUUUAGCCUUCAGUCAAAGUACAGUCAUGCACCACAGAACGAAAUUUUGGCCAACCAUGGACUGUAUGUAGGACAGUGGUCCCAUAAGAUUAUAAUCACAUGUUUUCACUAGACCUUUCGAUGAUUAGAUACACAAAUACCAUUGUGU
rnacentral:sRNA from 1 species